UAGGUUUGACAUCCACGGAACCCUCCCGAAAAGGAGGGGUGCCCUUCGGGGAGCCGUGUGAC
rnacentral:rRNA from 1 species